GGUUAAGCGACUAAGCGUACACGGUGGAUGCCCUGGCAGUCAGAGGCGAUGAAGGACGUGCUAAUCUGCGAAAAGCGUCGGUAAGGUGAUAUGAACCGUUAUAACCGGCGAUGUCCGAAUGGGGAAACCCAGUGCAAUUCGUUGCACUAUCGUUAACUGAAUACAUAGGUUAACGAGGCGAACCGGGGGAACUGAAACAUCUAAGUACCCCGAGGAAAAGAAAUCAACCGAGAUUCCCCCAGUAGCGGCGAGCGAACGGGGAGCAGCCCAGAGUCUGAAUCAGCUUGUGUGUUAGUGGAACGGUCUGGAAAGUCCGACGGUACAGGGUGAUAGUCCCGUACACCAAAAUGCACAGGUUGUGAACUCGAAGAGUAGGGCGGGACACGUGGUAUCCUGUCUGAAUAUGGGGGGACCAUCCUCCAAGGCUAAAUACUCCUGACUGACCGAUAGUGAACCAGUACCGUGAGGGAAAGGCGAAAAGAACCCCGGCGAGGGGAGUGAAAAAGAACCUGAAACCGUGUACGUACAAGCAGUGGGAGCACCUUCGGGUGUGACUGCGUACCUUUUGUAUAAUGGGUCAGCGACUUAUAUUCUGUAGCAAGGUUAACCGUAUAGGGGAGCCGCAGGGAAACCGAGUCUUAACUGGGCGUUAAGUUGCAGGGUAUAGACCCGAAACCCGGUGAUCUAGCCAUGGGCAGGUUGAAGGUUGGGUAACACUAACUGGAGGACCGAACCGACUAAUGUUGAAAAAUUAGCGGAUGACUUGUGGCUGGGGGUGAAAGGCCAAUCAAACCGGGAGAUAGCUGGUUCUCCCCGAAAGCUAUUUAGGUAGCGCCUCGUGAAUUCAUCUUCGGGGGUAGAGCACUGUUUCGGCUAGGGGGUCAUCCCGACUUACCAACCCGAUGCAAACUACGAAUACCGAAGAAUGUUAUCACGGGAGACACACGGCGGGUGCUAACGUCCGUCGUGAAGAGGGAAACAACCCAGACCGCCAGCUAAGGUCCCAAAGUCAUGGUUAAGUGGGAAACGAUGUGGGAAGGCACAGACAGCCAGGAUGUUGGCUUAGAAGCAGCCAUCAUUUAAAGAAAGCGUAAUAGCUCACUGGUCGAGUCGGCCUGCGCGGAAGAUGUAACGGGGCUAAACCAUGCACCGAAGCUGCGGCAGCGACACUAUGUGUUGUUGGGUAGGGGAGCGUUCUGUAAGCCUGCGAAGGUGUGCUGUGAGGCAUGCUGGAGGUAUCAGAAGUGCGAAUGCUGACAUAAGUAACGAUAAAGCGGGUGAAAAGCCCGCUCGCCGGAAGACCAAGGGUUCCUGUCCAACGUUAAUCGGGGCAGGGUGAGUCGACCCCUAAGGCGAGGCCGAAAGGCGUAGUCGAUGGGAAACAGGUUAAUAUUCCUGUACUUGGUGUUACUGCGAAGGGGGGACGGAGAAGGCUAUGUUAGCCGGGCGACGGUUGUCCCGGUUUAAGCAUGUAGGCUGGUUGUCCAGGCAAAUCCGGAUAAUCAAGGCUGAGGUGUGAUGACGAGGCACUACGGUGCUGAAGUAACAAAUGCCCUGCUUCCAGGAAAAGCCUCUAAGCAUCAGGUAACAUCAAAUCGUACCCCAAACCGACACAGGUGGUCAGGUAGAGAAUACCAAGGCGCUUGAGAGAACUCGGGUGAAGGAACUAGGCAAAAUGGUGCCGUAACUUCGGGAGAAGGCACGCUGGUGUGUAGGUGAAGUCCCUGCGGAUGGAGCUGAGACCAGUCGAAGAUACCAGCUGGCUGCAACUGUUUAUUAAAAACACAGCACUGUGCAAACACGAAAGUGGACGUAUACGGUGUGACGCCUGCCCGGUGCCGGAAGGUUAAUUGAUGGGGUUAUCCGUAAGGAGAAGCUCUUGAUCGAAGCCCCGGUAAACGGCGGCCGUAACUAUAACGGUCCUAAGGUAGCGAAAUUCCUUGUCGGGUAAGUUCCGACCUGCACGAAUGGCGUAAUGAUGGCCAGGCUGUCUCCACCCGAGACUCAGUGAAAUUGAACUCGCUGUGAAGAUGCAGUGUACCCGCGGCAAGACGGAAAGACCCCGUGAACCUUUACUAUAGCUUGACACUGAACAUUGAGCCUUGAUGUGUAGGAUAGGUGGGAGGCUUUGAAGCGUGGACGCCAGUCUGCGUGGAGCCAACCUUGAAAUACCACCCUUUAAUGUUUGAUGUUCUAACGUUGGCCCCUGACCGGGGUUGCGGACAGUGUCUGGUGGGUAGUUUGACUGGGGCGGUCUCCUCCCAAAGCGUAACGGAGGAGCACGAAGGUUAGCUAAUCCUGGUCGGACAUCAGGAGGUUAGUGCAAUGGCAUAAGCUAGCUUGACUGCGAGCGUGACGGCGCGAGCAGGUGCGAAAGCAGGUCAUAGUGAUCCGGUGGUUCUGAAUGGAAGGGCCAUCGCUCAACGGAUAAAAGGUACUCCGGGGAUAACAGGCUGAUACCGCCCAAGAGUUCAUAUCGACGGCGGUGUUUGGCACCUCGAUGUCGGCUCAUCACAUCCUGGGGCUGAAGUAGGUCCCAAGGGUAUGGCUGUUCGCCAUUUAAAGUGGUACGCGAGCUGGGUUUAGAACGUCGUGAGACAGUUCGGUCCCUAUCUGCCGUGGGCGCUGGAGAAUUGAGGGGGGCUGCUCCUAGUACGAGAGGACCGGAGUGGACGCAUCACUGGUGUUCGGGUUGUCAUGCCAAUGGCACUGCCCGGUAGCUAAAUGCGGAAGAGAUAAGUGCUGAAAGCAUCUAAGCACGAAACUUGCCCCGAGAUGAGUUCUCCCUGAGACUUUAAGUCUCCUGAAGGAACGUUGAAGACGACGACGUUGAUAGGCCGGGUGUGUAAGCGCAGCGAUGCGUUGAGCUAACCGGUACUAAUGAACCGUGAGGCUUAACCUU
rnacentral:rRNA from 1 species